rnacentral:rRNA from 1 species
UACGAAGGGGGCUAGCGUUGCUCGGAAUCACUGGGCGUAAAGGGUGCGUAGGCGGGUUUUUAAGUCAGGGGUGAAAUCCUGGAGCUCAACUCCAGAACUGCCUUUGAUACUGAAGAUCUUGAGUCCGGGAGAGGUGAGUGGAACUGCGAGUGUAGAGGUGAAAUUCGUAGAUAUUCGCAAGAACACCAGUGGCGAAGGCGGCUCACUGGCCCGAUACUGACGCUGAGACGCGAAAGCGUGGGGAGCAAACAGGG